rnacentral:lncRNA from 1 species
UGAUAAAAACGAUUAGAUCUCAUAGAUGUUGAUGAAUCAAAUCCUUUGUUAUUUCUCAACUAGAAAAAGAGAAUUUAGUUGCACAUUAUCGCAAUUGAACAAUACGAAUUGAUUGAAGUGUUUUUCAUAACCAUCUGGUAAUGUCCAAAACGUAAGAAAAAGAAAAAAGGAUGAAGGCGGCUAAAGCUUUCUGCCUUUUUUCCGUGAGAGCCAGUCACAAGACCUCUUGACCUUUUUUAGUACCCCCAAUUCGGUUUCUACUUGGCUAACUGAAAAAUAGAGUUCUCAUUGAAAAAGGAAACUUAAAAAAUAAUCCUAAUUGUUCCUAAAUAAAAACAUCUAAGAAAAAUGGCAAUUUCCUAGUCUAUGCCUAACUUCCUACGUAAACUCAUCUUGACUUUGCAAACUUGCGCUUGAUGACCAAUUUCAGGAAAAUUGCCCCUUUUUAGCACUUUUCGCUCCAACGUCCUAUAAUUAACACAAAACAAAAAAUAUAAGUAGAAUCCGACAAUUAAAACAAUAUUUGGCAAGAAUAAAAGAGAAAUUAAUCAUAAAUUUAAUAUCAAAUUUCAACCUAUCACCAUCCCUCCCCCCGUCUAGCAACUAGAGAUUGUAUCACUAUUUGAUAAAUGUAAUUACUCUAAACUUAUGCUACUAAUUAUGCACAAUUUAAUAUCAGAGGUUUUGCAAGUAUUUUCAAGAGUUUUUUGCCAAAUAGUUGUAAUUUGUGUUAAAAAAAAAUUCUAUCAUUGUUUGUUAUUCCAAUUUUCUCCUUGUAUGAUGAAGUAUUAUAUUGCCAUCUCAUACUCCAUACCAUCCAUGUUGACACAACUGCUACUUCUAAAUUAUGUACUUAUCCACUACUACUAUAUAUAUCCAAGUCUACCCGCUAACUUCAAUUAAAAAAAUCCCAAUACUCUAUAAUUAAUUCUUUUGCUCUAACUAGUUUGUUAUUUUAUAUCUUUUUCAUUAUUUACUUUUUCCUAAAAUAUACGCACACACAGAGUGUGUGUGUCUCACCCAGUGAUUCUAAUAAUUACACAAACUAGUAUGAACUAGACAAAUUUCUACUUGUGAGGCCCGUUAUCCAACAUUUACAUGGGUUACCAUUUUAUCUUUUUAUCUACACAAAUUAAUAAAAAAGAAGGACAAAAUGAUUACCUGAGUAGCAUCGACACAGAGCUUAGGGCCCGAGAUGUUGAGUGUUAUAGAGUAGGAUUAUGUAGAGCCUUGUUCAGGUUGGGCCAAGAGACAGAUUUCGGUAAAAUGGAGCCCAAAAUUCAUAGGCCUGGAAGUCUAGAAUAUUUUCUGCAUCAUUUGUUGGUGGUUUAUCUGCAAACCUGUUAAGUCAAUUGCUGCCAUUACCUAACGAGCAAUGACUUCCACCCAAUUGAGGAUUUUUUUUUUCUUUUGUAUUUUUUGGUCCAUGUUCAAUUGGGAGGUAAAAGGUAAUUUUAAUAGAGUCCACCUAUAAAAAGCGGGUUUAAAUCACAACAUUUUUAAGUGAUAGAUACAAAUAUGAGAGUUUGUAAAAUCAAAAAGGUGAACUAUCUAUUAAUUUGUUUCUAUUGUUCAAGUUGUAUGUCGACAUUAUGCAGUUCUUUAAUUUGGAACACAAUCUGACAUCUCUAUUUUAAUGCAACACAACGCGAACUUAAUUAUUGUCUCACAUUAAAUACUCAUUCCCCAUUUUCUUAAAAUUGCCACAAAAUUUGUACAUUAUAGAUUCAAAAAUUUUUUU